UACGGAGGGUGCGAGCGUUAAUCGGAAUUACUGGGCGUAAAGCGUGCGCAGGCGGUUUUGUAAGCCAGAUGUGAAAUCCCCGGGCUUAACCUGGGAAUGGCAUUUGGGACUGCAAGGCUGGAGUGCGGCAGAGGAGACUGGAAUUCCUGGUGUAGCAGUGAAAUGCGUAGAUAUCAGGAGGAACACCGAUGGCGAAGGCAGGUCUCUGGGCUGACACUGACGCUCAUGCACGAAAGCGUGGGGAGCAAACGGG
rnacentral:rRNA from 1 species